ACGCGAGGAACCUUACCAGGUCUUGACAUCCCUUUGACCGGUAUAGAGAUAUACCUUUCCUUCGGGACAGAGGAGACAGGUGGUGCAUGGUUGUCGUCAGCUCGUGUCGUGAGAUGUUGGGUUAAGUCCCGCAACGAGCGCAACCCUUGAUCUUAGUUGCCAGCAUUAAGUUGGGCACUCUAAGGUGACUGCCGGUGACAAACCGGAGGAAGGUGGGGAUGACGUCAAAUCAUCAUGCCCCUUAUGACCUGGGCUACACACGUGCUACAAUGGACGGUACAAACGGUUGCCAACCCGUGAGGGGGAGCUAAUCCGAUAAAACCGUUCUCAGUUCGGAUUGUAGGCUGCAACUCGCCUACAUGAAGCUGGAAUCGCUAGUAAUCGCGGAUCAGCAUGCCGCGGUGAAUACGUUCCCGGGCCUUGCACACACCGCCCGU
rnacentral:rRNA from 1 species